CCUACGGGUGGCUGCAGUGGGGAAUAUUGCACAAUGGGGGAAACCCUGAUCCAGCGACGCCGCGUGGGUGAAGAAGCGCCUCGGCGCGUAAAGCCCUGUCAGCAGGGAAGAAAAUGACGGUACCUGCAGAAGAAGCCGCUGCUAACUACGUGCCAGCAGCCGCGGUAAUACGUAGGGGGCAAGCGUUAUCCGGCUUUACUGGGGGGAAAGGGGGCGCAGACGGCGAUGCAAGCCAGGAGUGAAAGCCCGGGGCCCAACCCCGGGACUGCUUUUGGAAAUGCGUGGCUGGAGUGCAGGAGGGGCAGGCGGAAGUCCUGGUGUAGCGGUGGAAUGCGUAGAUAUCAGGAGGAACACCGGUGGCGAAGGCGGCCUGCUGGACUGCAACUGACGUUGAGGCCCGAAAGCGUGGGGAGCAAACAGGAUUAGAUACCCCUGUAGUC
rnacentral:rRNA from 1 species